ensembl:lncRNA
GAAACAUUAAAGGGCCUUCAGAGUUCAGAAAAAACACUCAAAGUCAGUCAAUGACAAACACAUCCAAAAAGGUAAUUUUGUCAAGUUUUAGAACAGAUACUAGCUUCAGUGCUAACAAACAUGCACUAAAGUCCACUAAACUCUAUUUUGGAUUCUUUUGGAUCUUUAAACUCAAACAUUUGACAUAAGUCAGAGCUCAUUUUUUCUUCUUGCUGGCUGACCAUGGCAGAUAAGAGUCAGGACCCAUCAGAGCCACUGAAGCGGGUGCCCAGGCGAGUGCCUGACCUAAAUGCUUGACUGCACUCAGCUAGCUAACCACAUUCAGCGGGCCGUGGAGGUGGAGUGAGGCUCUUCUGCUGUCUGCGGGUUUGGCUGACCAGGAUUACGGUACUCUGGAAAUAUUGAGCCUCGCUGACCUACAACUUUGACCGCACAUGCUCAUUUUUCACCAAACUUUGUUAAAGUUGAUUUAUUCACCCGGGG